AGGCCCCAGGCCCUACGGGGCGCAGCAGGUGCGAAAAUUCCGCAAUGCGUGCAAGCGCGACGGAGUGACCCCCAGUGCCGAUGGUCUAACGAUCGCCGGCUUUUCUGGAGUGUAAAAAGCUCUGGGUAAUAAGGGCCGGGUAAGACUGGUGCCAGCCGCCGCGGUAACACCAGCGGCUCAAGUGGUAGUCGAUUUUAUUGGGUCUAAAGCGUCCGUAGCCGGAUCGUCAAGUCCCUUGUGAAAUCGGGCGGCUUAACCGCUCGGCUUGCAAGAGAAACUGACGUUUUUGGGGUCGGCAGGCGCCGAGGGUACUCCGGAGGUAGCGGUGAAAUGCUAUAAUCUUCGGGGGACCGCCGGUGGCGAAAGCGCUCGGCGGGGCCGAACCCGACGGUGAGGGACGAAGGCCAGGGGAGCGAACCGGAUUAGAUACCCGGGUAGUCCUGGCUGUAAAGUAUGUGGGCCAGGUGCCAGACGUUCCUCGAGAGCGCUUGGUGCCGAAGGGAAGCCGUUAAGCCCACCACCUGGGGAGUACGGUCGCAAGACUGAAACUUAAAGAAAUUGGCGGGGGAGCACCACAAGGGGUGGAGCCUGCGGUUUAAUUGGAUUCAACGCCGGACAUCUCACCGGGGGCGACGGCAGAGUGAAGGCCAAGUUGACGACUUUGCCGGACUCGCCGAGAGGUGGUGCAUGGCCGCCGUCAGCUCGUAUCGUGAGACGUCCUGUCAAGUCAGGUAACGAGCGAGACCCUUAUCCUUAGUUGCCAGCGGAUCCCUCUGGGAUGCCGGGCACUCUAAGGAGACCGCUGUCGAUAAGGCAGAGGAAGGAGAGGGCGACGGUAGGUCCGUAUGCCCCGAAUCCCCCGGGCAACACGCGGGCUACAAUGCGCGGGACAGAGGGCUGCGACCCCGAGAGGGGAAGCCGAUCCCUAAACCUGCGCCUAGUUCGGAUCGAGGGCUGCAACUCGCCCUCGUGAAGCUGGAAUCCCUAGUAAUCGCGUGUCACUAUCGCGCGGUGAAUACGUCCCUGCUCCUUGCACACACCGCCCGUCAAGCCAUCCGAGUGGGAUUUGGAUGAGGCUUACUCGACAUGAGUGGGUCAAAUCCGGGUUCUGCAAGGAGGGCUAAGUCGUAA
rnacentral:rRNA from 1 species